rnacentral:lncRNA from 1 species
GGGGGUACUCGCUUGGCGAGCAUCCACUGGGUAAGUCCACCAUUCUUCAGGUCGCCCACCAACUGCAUCUUGUGGUUGGCACCACAUCACUUGCUCGAUCAUCAUCACUCGGUCCUAAAUGAGAUGCAAGAUGCAUAUGUAUGAAUAUAAUGAAAGUAACACAAGACAUACAAAGACACAGUGGCAAACUAAACAUUAAAUGAGAAGACACCGCGACAACUGUACGCAAGCGCUAGUUAUCUAGACGUCAUUGGGCACAACAAGUCAACAUUACUGGAAAGACGACGAACAUUUCCUAUAUUUGACCCACACAAACACGACAUCACGAGUACAAGCAUUUACCCUGUUCACUUUAAUCGUUCAUUGGCUACUUAUGAUUAAACUAGUUAAGUACACAUAAUUUACGAUGACUUACACAUAGACUGACUUAGUUAAAAAGGAAUAUUUACUUAAUCGGGUUUUACAAUUGUUCGCAAUACUCUAAUGCAAGCAUACAUCUAAGGGCACACAAGAAAGUGAUAGCCUAAUCACACUGCUUAUUAUAAUAAUCUAUUGAGAUUGGUUAUUUAUUAAUACUCAGAUUAGCAGCACAAUUAUUAGAAAUGGUAACAUCUCAUUAAUUUUGUUUUUCGUCCAUAUAGUGAUACCUGCUAAAUUGACGUUGAUCGAAGCUAAUUUCUUACUAGACGUCAACCAUUUAAUUUACUACUGCACUAGUUACUUGUAUAUCUCUAAUUAUAUAAUCUACUAAUAUAGGGAUUAUGAGAUAACACUAUCAAUCAUACUCAAGCAAGACAAGAGAGUAGAGCAAUCAACCACAAUCAACAAGAUUAGGACAGCAGCACAACAUUUACUUGUUUCAGUCGUAACUCUUCAAAUAUUUAUCCAAAAAUAGUGAAAAAAUACUUUUUGGAAAGCUUGGGAAACGCUCUACAACUUUGGUAUUAUCGUCUCAAUAUGACUAGACUCUUAGCAAAGUCGAACUGUGCAAAAAUAACAAGUCUGUCCAGGAUGGACAGAUUCAGACUUGCGACUUCAAAAAUUCACAACUACAGGUUCAGACAUCCAAACAAAUUGAUCCUAGACUUUCUGGAAAGGUAAUAAAAUGUUCUACAAAUUAUUUAUAAACAUCCCUGACUGGUUUAAUAUGUAUCAAGCGUAAAAUACACUAUGAAGGCUGUGCUGUCCAGAACUGGACAGAUUCCGUCUUCACACUUUAAACAUCCAUAACUUAAUAUUCAGAUCACCAAAAAGAGUGAUCCAAGACUUUUUAGAAAGCUUGGCAAAAGCACUACAUACUUUUAUAAUAACCAAGAAUCGAUUUUAUGCUGAAUUGAAUCAAACAAUUCAGUUUUCGAAAUCUGUUCUGUUAGUGGACAGAAUACAGCAACCAGUUUGUAAAAUUCAUAGCUCCUAAUCUGUCAGGCCUAUGGUUAUGAAAUUUUAACACAAGCAAGAUAAGAAAAGCAUCUACAACUUUUGUAUAACGACCAUGAACAGAUUGUAACAUUAAAUUAGGCAAACAAUACAGUUUCUGAAAUCUGUACAGAAUUUGGGCACAUUCAGUUACUGAAUUUGUGAAAAGCAUAACUCCUAAACGAUCAGACUUAUGACUGUCAAAUUUUAACACCAGCAAGAUAAUAAAGUUAUCUACCACUUUUCUAUAGCACAUAUCUACAGAAAAUAAAAUUUAGUUCAUCAAACAUACAGCACAGCGAAAACAAUGCGUGCAGCCCAAAACAACAACUAAUAAAAUUCAGCCCCUAUUCACUUAAAAAUUGUCGCGUUCUAGAGACUUGAAUUAUUUUAACACCUUACCAUUUGUUAAAGUUGAAACAAUCAAAUUAGGGCCAACAAGUAGACUUACUAAUUUUAUACAAUUCAUUUGUGCACUAGAAUUGCCAUACACAAUUAGCAACGCAUCUACCACAAUAAUCUUACCCGGCAUAUAUGUGUUUAUUGAUGCGCCCUCACACACUAAUUUGCAUUUUAACUUAGACAUCACAUGAACACUACUACUUUUCAUACGCGACCAUAACCAUACACAUUUAGAUCACAACAAGCAAUUCAUCGUGAUUACGAGCUUAACCAAGUCAUCUAACAAUUCGGCUAACUAGAGCAACGACAUAGCCGCUACAUAACAUACACGUCGGCUUGCCUAUUAUCAUCACAAUCCGAGACACAACAUAUACUACAACAUUUUUAUAAACACACAGAUUCACAAGUAUAUUCGCACAUCGACCAAUUUAUAUGAAUCGUAAACCACUAAUCUCCAAAUCGCAAUCACCAUGCAUUUACUUCUCCAAUCAUGAACGCAUACAUGUUUAUCAUAUGAACCGAGUACUUCAAUAAUUAUCCUAAAACAACUAACUCCAUUACACACUUGUAUCACAAACCUAUUUGACUUACAUGAAGCGUCUACUCGAAAUCGUAAGCACAAUCAUACACUAUAUGCGAAGCCUAAUUUAUCGAACGCACAAUACGCAUCGUCUCGACUCGACUUAUAAAUAUAGAGAAAGCGACGACUACCUUGGCAUGUCACCACCUCUCUAUAUAAGCCAAAGUAAUUUCUAUCUACAACGACCAAACAUUCAUGUCGAGCACACUUUAUUUUAUCGUGUCUCGCAUACAACCAUAUGGUGGCGUGCACUCGAGACACUUCAAUCAACGUGGCGCGACCACUAAUAUAUGAACUCCGACACUCAAGUAUUAAUAAUUCAUCCUCCACGCAAAUUAGCAUUGUCUAAACUACUCGUCACAUUAACAAUUAUAUCCCCUAUAUAAUCACGAAUCCCAUCACAUUGCAUAAAACAAAUACACUUUUCACAUAAACACAUAUCGAUGCAUUUCCCAAAACAAAAUCCGCAUUUUGUAACUUAGUUUUCGCAUUUAAACAACACAUCGCAUAUUUUUCCUAUCAAAUAUAAAAACAUAUGAGUUUCUUUCUACUUUGUUUUCUUUUCUACUCACGUCCAUUCAUACAAUUAUAUUUUCAUGCACAUAUUCACGCCAUCGACUGAAUCGUAAAUAAAACAAAAACCACCAUUUUUCUAAAGCGAACAACCUGGCUGAAACCCGAGUGGAGUUGUGCAUGCAUGCAUGUCGUUUUGGCUUCCUGUCAAGAAACGACGCGCGAAGCGUGACGACGACAAGGGGCUGCGACUAACGACAUACACAAUUAUUUCACAGCUUUAUUAGUUCAGUUAUUUUAUAAAAUCAGGGAACACAGGACAGCGAGGAGCUCACCGCGGGUUUCGACGACGACGCGCAAAUGCUGCGCAGAUCAAUAGCGUGAGGCCCGUCCUGGCGAGCGCGACGCAGCGAAGGGCGUCGCUGCUGCUGCUGCGGCAUUUCAUCGAGCACGCCGAGGGCGCGACACAGCGAGAACCCAUGUGGCUGCGCGAACUAGCGUCGUGGCUGCUGCGCGAGGUUGACGGCGAGCUCGCUGCGGCUGCUGUUUUGUGGGGAAGAGAGGAGGAGCAGGGGCCUAGAGCUAGGCGGCAUUGCUCCUGCUGAUUUCCAUGGAAAAGUAGGGCGCAGGGAACAGCAGGGAUGGCAUGCCCAUGGAGAAGCUUCUGCGCACCGGGGAGAAGAGCUCCCUACUGCAGAACGCCGUGGAGAAGGGGCGCGCCCAUGGGGUGAGCUCAGGCUUGAGCCAUGGAGCAGGGAGGGCAACACCCUAGAAGAGCUCUGCGAGCACCAACCAUCGGAGCUGAGGGGGAGUGGCGAGGUUGGCCAUGGGCGACGGUGGGCCACCUGCUCGAGCUUGGACCAGAGAAAGUCUCCGCCAUGGCUGGAGCAGAGGCGUCAUGGGAGUAGUUGCCUGCACCGACUCGCCGCCAUGGAGGAGCAGGGGACGUCGGCUUCGACAAGAGCAAGGAGGGGCAAGACUCUGGACGAGAAGUUCCAGGGCGCCAUGGACGAGUAGGAGCAGAGGGGCUUGCAGCUUGUCCUAGCAGGUUGAGCUCGGCCAUGGGGAAGCAGGGGCACCCUGCGCGCGAACGAGAGGGCCGAGCGGGGCCCUGAGCUUAUGCUCGCGCGCGGUCCCGACAUUGGAGGUGGGAAAGCUCGUCGACGUCCUGUGGAAGAUGUUGGCCGGCGAGUGGAGCGGGUCGACGGCGCACUGCUGAGGGAGGGCACCGACGCCAUGGACGCCGGGUUGGAGCGCCGGCCGAGGAGGAGAUCCUCCUAGCAUCAUGGAUCCGCUAGGGGAAGGGGCGCCUACUCUCCCUGCUGGGUUCUGAGGGGAACAAGGAACCAGCCAUGGUGCAGAGGGGGAGAAGGGGACGCAGGGACGCUCGGCAUGAGGAGGAAGAGGGCCUGCACACCGGCCUGGGGAAGAAGGGCGCCGAGGGAAAGGGUGGCGCCAUGGGAGAAGCCAUAGCUCGGCUAGGGAAGGAGCUGGGCGGCCAUGGAGCUUCGGUGUCCGAGGAGCCAGGGAGAUGGAGUCG